rnacentral:rRNA from 1 species
UGGGGAAUUUUGGACAAUGGGGGCAACCCUGAUCCAGCAAUGCCGCGUGUGUGAAGAAGGCCUUCGGGUUGUAAAGCACUUUUGUCCGGAAAGAAAUCCCCUGCUCUAAUACAGCGGGGGGAUGACGGUACCGGAAGAAUAAGCACCGGCUAACUACGUGCCAGCAGCCGCGGUAAUACGUAGGGUGCGAGCGUUAAUCGGAAUUACUGGGCGUAAAGCGUGCGCAGGCGGUUUUGUAAGACAGGCGUGAAAUCCCCGAGCUCAACUUGGGAAUGGCGCUUGUGACUGCAAGGCUAGAGUAUGUCAGAGGGGGGUAGAAUUCCACGUGUAGCAGUGAAAUGCGUAGAGAUGUGGAGGAAUACCGAUGGCGAAGGCAGCCCCCUGGGACGUCACUGACGCUCAUGCACGAAAGCGUGGGGAGCAAACA